AUACGGAGGUUGCAAGCGUUGUUCGGAUUUAUUGGGCGUAAAGCGAGUGUAGGCGGUUUGACAAGUCGAAUGUGAAAUCCCGAGGCCCAACCUCGGAACUGCAUCCGAAACUGUCAGGCUAGAGUCCCGGAGAGGAUGGCGGAAUUCCCGGUGUAGGGGUGAAAUCCGUAGAUAUCGGGAGGAACACCAGUGGCGAAGGCGGCCAUCUGGACGGUGACUGACGCUGAGACUCGAAAGUGUGGGUAGCAAACAGGAUUAGAAACCCUAGUAGUCC
rnacentral:rRNA from 1 species